AAGUCGUAACAAGGUUUCCGUAGGUGAACCUGCGGAAGGAUCAUUAACACGUAUGGUGACACUUUCAGACACCAACAAGCAGAGGAAUGCCAGGCCACUUGCCUCACGCUCAAGCACAGUCUACGCAGAAGUCCCUGAAUCAAAACUGUUCAGCAAUGAUUUACCAGGGAUUGCUACCUUUUCUAAGAAAGUGCGAGCGCACUGAAGGUUCACGGGGGGUUUAACGUUGGAUACUGUACGAAUGGCGCAGUCACGAUCGCUAGAGGCCGACACGGCCGGCGACCGGGUCACUGGGCGCGAGCCCCCCUCGUCACCUUUGCAUGAAAACGGGCCUGCGCUUAAUUGUGCGGCCACCAAACUCGAACAACUGUUAACAAUGGAUAUCUUGGUUCUC
rnacentral:misc_RNA from 1 species